UUAAAGAUGAAGGGGAGGAGACAGGUUCAAGAUGAAGGGGAGGAGACAGGUUAAAGAUGAAGGGGAGGAGACAGGUUAAAGAUGAAGGGGAGGAGACAGGUUAAAGAUGAAGGGGAGGAGACAGGUUAAAGAUGAAGGGGAGGAGACAGGUUCAAGAUGAAGGGGAGGAGACAGGUUAAAGAUGAAGGGGAGGAGACAGGUUCAAGAUGAAGGGGAGGAGACAGGUUCAAGAUGAAGGGGAGGAGACUGGUUCAAGAUGAAGGGGAGGAGACAGGUUCAAGAUGAAGGGGAGGAGACUGGUUAAAGAUGAAGGGGAGGAGACUGGUUCAAGAUGAAGGGGAGGAGACUGGUUAAAGAUGAAGGGGAGGAGACAGGUUAAAGAUGAAGGGGAGGAGACAGGUUAAAGAUGAAGGGGAGGAGACAGGUUAAAGAUGAAGGGGAGGAGACAGGUUAAAGAUGAAGGGGAGGAGACAGGUUAAAGAUGAAGGGGAGGAGACAGGUUAAAGAUGAAGGGGAGGAGACAGGUUAAAGACCCCCUUUCUAAAGUUUGUUUUUAUUGAAGAACUCAGACGCAAAACAUUCUGCCCUGUUAUUUCCCUUCAGAAUGUGUUUACCCAAGUAUAGAGGCAGGCAGCCUAGUGGUUAGAGUAUAGAGGAGGCAGGUAGCCUAGUGGUUAGAGUGUAGAGGCAGGCAGCCUAGUGGUUAGAGUGUAGAGGAGGCAGGUAGCCUAGUGGUUAGAGUGUAGAGGCAGGCAGCCUAGUG